rnacentral:rRNA from 1 species
UACGGAGGGUGCGAGCGUUGUCCGGAAUCAUUGGGCGUAAAGGGCGCGUAGGUGGCGGGACAAGCGUGCGGUGAAAGCUCGGGGCUCAACCCCGCGUCGGCCGUGCGAACUGUUUUGCUUGAGCACUGUAGAGGCAGGCGGAAUUCCGGGUGUAGCGGUGGAAUGCGUAGAUAUGCGGAGGAACACCGAUGGCGAAGGCAAUCCCCUGGGCCUGCACUGACGCUCAUGCACGAAAGCGUAGGGGAGCGAAACAAGGAUUGAGAA